rnacentral:rRNA from 1 species
GACACGCUGGCGGCGUGCCUAACACAUGCAAGUCGAGCGGAGAUGUACUGAAGAUUUAUCGGAAUGUACAUCUUAGCGGCGGACGGGUGAGUAACGCGUGGGCAACCUGCCUUUCACUGGGGGAUAACACAGGGAAACCUGUGCUAAUACCGCAUGACAUCACGUAGGGCAUCCUAUGUGAUCAAAGGAGAGGAUCCGGUGGAAGAUCGGGCCCGCGUCCAAUUAGCUGGUUGGUGAGGUAAAGGCUCACCAAGGCGACGAUUGGUAGCCGAACUGAGAGGUUGAUCGGCCACAUUGGGACUGAGACACGGCCCAGACUCCUACGGGAGGCAGCAGUGGGGAAUAUUGCGCAAUGGGGGGAACCCUGACGCAGCAGCGCCGCGUGAAGGAAGAAGGUCUUCGGAUUGUAAACUUCUUUGAUGAGGGACGAAUAAAGUGACGGUACCUCAAAAACAAGCCACGGCUAACUACGUG